AACACGCAAUUUUUGGUAUUUAGCACAAGCACGGGGAAAGGGGAAAAAUAAAACCCUAGACUUGAAUCGUAAAGAAAUAGAGAGAGAAUGGCGGAGCACUUAGCAUCCAUAUUCGGGACAGAGAAAGACAGGGUGAACUGUCCUUUUUACUUCAAGAUCGGAGCCUGCAGACAUGGUGAUCGAUGCUCAAGACUCCACACAAAGCCGACAAUCAGCCCAACCCUGUUGCUCUCCAACAUGUACCAGAGACCUGACAUGCUCACUCCUGGAGUGGAUCCUCAGGCUCAAUCCCAGUCCCUCGAUCCCCGGAAGAUCCAAGACCACUUUGAGGAUUUUUAUGAGGAUUUGUUUGAAGAACUCAGCAAGUAUGGUGAUAUUGAGAGCUUAAAUAUCUGUGAUAAUCUUGCUGACCACAUGGUGGGUAAUGUGUAUGUCCAGUUUAGAGAAGAAGAGCACGCUGCUAAUGCCCUUCGCAAUCUUAACGGAAGGUUUUAUGCAGGGCGACCCAUCAUUGUUGACUUUUCUCCUGUCACGGAUUUCCGCGAAGCUACAUGUAGGCAAUAUGAGGAAAAUGUUUGCAAUCGAGGUGGCUACUGCAACUUCAUGCAUCUUAAGAAGAUUAGCAGGGAAUUGAGGAGGCAGUUAUUUGGGAGGAACAGACGAAGACGUAGCCGCAGUAGAAGCCAUAGUCCUGAUAGGCACCGUGGUCAUGAGGAGCGUCCACAUGGUGGCCGUGGUUUGAAUAGGAGAGAGGAUGACAGGGAGCAUCACAAUGAAAGGGGCAGGAGGCCUAGAAGCCGAAGUCCUGCACGCAGGGGAGGACGAAGUAGCCCUGGGGGGAGGAGAAACAGGAGUCCUGUCAGAGAGAGUAGUGCUGAAAGAAGGGCUAAGAUUGAAAAGUGGAACAGGGAAAAGGAACAGACAGAUUCUGGUGGUAGAGGUGAUAGCAGAAACCCUGAAAAUGACAGGGAUAACAGUGACUUUGCUGAGAAUGGUGGCCAUUAUGAUGAUGCCCAGCACUAGUAGGAGCUUGGUGGAUACUAGGGACCUACCUGGAAACGUCUGGUGGAGUACAGGUUCAGUGUCUUGUGUUAUGAAAAUUUUAAGCUGAUGUACCCGCCUUGUGAGUGUUGUAUCAUAGUGGAACUGUUUCUGGAGUAAAUUCAAAACCUCAAAGGUUGAUAGGUUGGGCUGUUGUUUACCUGCAGAGCGUUUUAGUGGAGUUCCAUUUUAAUGUUGUUGAAGCAUCAAGAAAGCCCUUGGAUCUUUGUACGAUGAGGAAAACUCUGACACUUCCAUACAAGGUGAAAUGGCUCUAAAUCAUUUGUCAUAUGUAGAUUCUUCAAAUGGAAUACAGAUUGAGUUCUUUGGGAUAUUGGUAAUCGUGUUUUUGUUUUUAUCAUGCACUACUGUCAAGUUCGUGGAUUGUUGUUUUGCCACAUCGAGUGGAGAUUGUGUUGUGAGCUUAUGAUCAAAAUAUUUAUUUUAUGCUUGUUGUUCA